UUAAGACAUUCUUUAGACUAAAGUCUACUUGAUUUUGUGUUCACAGCCAUCUGGAAUGACUCAAAACUGAUGGGAACGCACUCGGUUCAUCACGAACAGACGGCACGCCGCUUCACCGCUGUAGUUGGCAUGGAUAGCAAACGCACAAUAGAUUCCUUGGUAUGAGCUGAUCAGCUAAUAUGCGAAAACAAGUUUCAUUGUUUCAUAGAUUGACAAAUGUCUUUCUCAUAAUGAUCGAGGCUUCUGUAAAAAAUACGAUAAAGGUGAGUAAUGAGUUCUUGAUUGGUGAGAUUCAUAUCUACCAAUGAUGAUCACAUCAUUUUUCAGUUAUCCCUGUCUUAGGAAUAGUGCUGACCAUUUUCAAUUCUGAACCCUCAUUUGAUCAUCAGCAUGUCAUUUUCUGAUUAAAAACUUUGUUACUAAGGCAAAUUUCUCUUUCAUUUUCAGAAACCUUCAUGGUGAAAACUAAGAACAAGAAGUUGAUCCGUUUAUAAGUGACAAAGGUAAGUCAACUUCUAACUCAAUGGGUUAUCUACGGUACUAUGAGCAACUACUUCAAUGAUGAUUUUAAACACAAUAUACGCAUACGGGGACAGAAUUUAAUGUUGUUGAAACUCUAGUUUACCCAGACUUGCCCUAUCUGAUUCUAGUUGCUUCAGACUCUAAUACUAGUUUCACGCUUCCAAAGGUUUUCUAAUUACUAAUCAUAUGUUUUCGUUGCAGAAUCUUUCCAAAUACAAACAUUGUUGCAUUGGAUCUUCAGUGUACAUCAGCUGAAUGUUGCCAACGAAUUGCACAAACGAGUUGAGAAUCCACAUUACCAACUAAAGGAUUCAAUCAGUUGUUUCAUCCCUCAGAUCACACGGCUCUUCUAGACAAAAAGGAGAUUAUCUGUCGUCGAUGUGCUUGGAAAUCCCUGCCUAAUUUAACAACCAAAGGUAAGUUUCGUUUCGUU